GCCUGGGUGGCUCAGCAGGUUGAGCGUCUGACUUCGGCUCAGGUCAUGAUCUCACGGUUCAUGGGUUCGAGUCCCACGUCCGGCU
rnacentral:tRNA from 1 species